GAUGAACGCUGGCGGCGUGCCUAAUACAUGCAAGUCGAGCGAACGGACGAGAAGCUUGCUUUUCUGAUGUUAGCGGCGGACGGGUGAGUAACACGUGGAUAACCUACCUAUAAGACUGGGAUAACUUCGGGAAACCGGAGCUAAUACCGGAUAAUAUUUUGAACCGCAUGGUUCAAAAGUGAAAGACGGUCUUGCUGUCACUUAUAGAUGGAUCCGCGCUGCAUUAGCUAGUUGGUAAGGUAACGGCUUACCAAGGCAACGAUGCAUAGCCGACCUGAGAGGGUGAUCGGCCACACUGGAACUGAGACACGGUCCAGACUCCUACGGGAGGCAGCAGUAGGGAAUCUUCCGCAAUGGGCGAAAGCCUGACGGAGCAACGCCGCGUGAGUGAUGAAGGUCUUCGGAUCGUAAAACUCUGUUAUUAGGGAAGAACAUAUGUGUAAGUAACUGUGCACAUCUUGACGGUACCUAAUCAGAAAGCCACGGCUAACUACGUGCCAGCAGCCGCGGUAAUACGUAGGUGGCAAGCGUUAUCCGGAAUUAUUGGGCGUAAAGCGCGCGUAGGCGGUUUUUUAAGUCUGAUGUGAAAGCCCACGGCUCAACCGUGGAGGGUCAUUGGAAACUGGAAAACUUGAGUGUAGAAGAGGAAAGUGGAAUUCCAUGUGUAGCGGUGAAAUGCGCAGAGAUGUGGAGGAACACCAGUGGCGAAGGCGACUUUCUGGUCUGUAACUGACGCUGAUGUGCGAAAGCGUGGGGAUCAAACAGGAUUAGAUACCCUGGUAGUCCACGCCGUAAACGAUGAGUGCUAAGUGUUAGGGGGUUUCCGCCCCUUAGUGCUGCAGCUAACGCAUUAAGCACUCCGCCUGGGGAGUACGACCGCAAGGUUGAAACUCAAAGGAAUUGACGGGGGCCCGCACAAGCGGUGGAGCAUGUGGUUUAAUUCGAAGCAACGCGAAGAACCUUACCAAAUCUUGACAUCCUUUGACAACUCUAGAGAUAGAGCCUUCCCCUUCGGGGGACAAAGUGACAGGUGGUGCAUGGUUGUCGUCAGCUCGUGUCGUGAGAUGUUGGGUUAAGUCCCGCAACGAGCGCAACCCUUAAGCUUAGUUGCCAUCAUUAAGUUGGGCACUCUAAGUUGACUGCCGGUGACAAACCGGAGGAAGGUGGGGAUGACGUCAAAUCAUCAUGCCCCUUAUGAUUUGGGCUACACACGUGCUACAAUGGACAAUACAAAGGGCAGCGAAACCGCGAGGUCAAGCAAAUCCCAUAAAGUUGUUCUCAGUUCGGAUUGUAGUCUGCAACUCGACUACAUGAAGCUGGAAUCGCUAGUAAUCGUAGAUCAGCAUGCUACGGUGAAUACGUUCCCGGGUCU
rnacentral:rRNA from 1 species